GGUGUAGUUAAAUUUAAAUACUAGUUUUAUGGUAAAAUUACUGAAAGUAUUAUGUUUAUAUAGUAAAAAUAAGAAAGUUUCAUUGCAUUAAAUUAAUAGUAUAAUAUUUCAAGUCUACAAAAUGUCACAGAUUUAAACCAACUUAACCAGAUCAUUUUAAACCUACUAGCAGUUGAAGAUUGUCCCAAAGCGCUUUCCGUACUUGCAAUUUCGCACAUGCACGGGAGGAAGCAAGAAGCAUCCAUUUUCCAUCUGCCCUUGGCCAAUUUUUUUAAAUCCGUUAUCAUCCAUAAAUUAUUUGGCUCUGAAUGUGGAGGUGCAAGCAGUGUCCUGAAAGUGAAUCUACAAGGACUACAGAACAAGUAAUAUUGAAAAAGAAGAAAAACCAACAGGUAAUCAAAAGUAAAAUGGAAGGAACCUUUGCCUAUAGAAGACAGGAAGUUGUUGGAAGAUAUGCCCUUCAUAGCAGAGUUCAAAAACAGAUGGCCAGGCCUGUUUUCUGAGAGCCAGGUAAAUGCAGAAUUCACCCUCAUCACCACUAAACCCUUAUGUCCCGACUGGAUCAUUACUAUAGCCAGCUAUUGAGGGUAUUUAAAAAGAAGUGGGGAACAGCAAGACGUGAUAUCGACGUAAUCAUCGCAGAAAUGGACAUGAAUCCCAGUGUUGAAGUAUGACGGACAUGCAUCCUAAAGGCGUUGUGCGUCUACUUAAUUGAAAAGCCUGUGUUCUCUAAUUGUAAACUUAACAUCUUUUGGGUUUGUUUCUAGUGUCAUAGAUGCAUAAUUAAUAAUGGGUCUCUUUCUUUGUCAUAGGCUACUGAGGAUAUUGGUAUUGAUGCAAUGAUGGAAAUGGAGAGACUGGCUUUGGGUGUCUACAUUGUUCGAUAUGAUGGAGCAGAUGCUUCAGAUCCACCUGAGGAUGUUGGCGUCGUCAUUGAAGGCUGCACAGUGCUGCGAGAUCUGAGAGAGGUUGCAAAUGGAUGUGCAGUCCUGUUUGGCUUGAUUCUGUUUAAACUGAGCUAUCCAAAGGAGCUGCAAUAAACAUUCGAAUUUCUUAAGAAAGUGUUUAUGGAAUUGGAUGGGAACAAGCUCUCCACUAAAGUGCAAGGUCCUCAAAAACAAACUGCAUGAGUAAAAUCACCUGCACCAGACAAGACUGGACCCGGCUUUGGACACUUUAGUUGUGUUUACUGUUACUUUAUUUUUGGACUGCUGCUUGACAAAAUAAAGCUAUAAUCAAUGAUGGUUUGUAAUAAGCAGACAGGACUGCAGUUGGUCAUCGACUUGCUUGGGGAGGCUCAGUUCUUUGGAUUUUGGACUGCUGCUAGACAAAACAUCUAGCAAUCUAAAGACAAUGUUGGUUGUUGUAAUUGGCAUUUAAACUUCUCUUGUUUCUGAUUUCUUCAGAAUCAAAAGAUGUGAAAUACAACAAACACUGGUUAUAAUGAAACCAUCUCAAACAAUUUAAGGUGAAGAUUGUUUUUUUGUUACGUAAACAUUGCUGAUUUUCUAUUUCUCCUUUUAAUGCAAACUAUAAACCUUGUAUUUUUCAUAAAAAUGUUCUUGAUAAGUCAGCAGGUAUGUAAAGUCUGAACAUAGUAUGUUCUAACGGUGAAGUGAGAAUUUUUCUGCAGCAUAAAUCCUCUUGAUUUUAAACUUCAGUUAAUUUAACCUCCCUCCAUAUAGAAAACAAGGAUUUGCCUCUUUAGUUUUAAUUUCAGUAGGCAACACCUGUUAGACAUUGUUGACGUCAAAGUUCCAAUUUACUAUAAAGCUAUAUUGGGAUUGAACAUUAUCAGAUGGUGAAGAUUCACAAACAAGUUUUAUAUUUUUGAAUUAUUAUUUAUAUUGGUCUAUUUGCAUUUUAUACGUGGA